rnacentral:rRNA from 1 species
GAUGAACGCUAGCUACAGGCUUAACACAUGCAAGUCGAGGGGAAACGGCAUUAAGUGCUUGCACUUUUUGGACGUCGACCGGCGCACGGGUGAGUAACGCGUAUCCAACCUUCCCAUGACUAAGGGAUAACCUGCCGAAAGGCAGACUAAUACCUUAUGGUCUUCACUGACGGCAUCAGAUGUGAAGUAAAGAUUUAUCGGUUAUGGAUGGGGAUGCGUCUGAUUAGCUUGUUGGCGGGGUAACGGCCCACCAAGGCAACGAUCAGUAGGGGUUCUGAGAGGAAGGUCCCCCACAUUGGAACUGGGACACGGUCCAAACUCCUACGGGAGGCAGCAGUGAGGAAUAGUGGUCAAUGGGCGAGAGCCUGAACCAGCCAAGUAGCGUGCAGGAUGACGGCCCUAUGGGUUGUAAACUGCUUUUGUAUGGGGAUAAAGUCAAUCACGUGUGAUUGUUUGCAGGUACCAUACGAAUAAGGACCGGCUAAUUCCGUG